GAUGAACGCUGGCGGCGUGCCUAAUACAUGCAAGUCGAGCGAACGGACGAGAAGCUUGCUUCUCUGAUGUUAGCGGCGGACGGGUGAGUAACACGUGGAUAACCUACCUAUAAGACUGGGAUAACUUCGGGAAACCGGAGCUAAUACCGGAUAAUAUUUUGAACCGCAUGGUUCAAAAGUGAAAGACGGUCUUGCUGUCACUUAUAGAUGGAUCCGCGCUGCAUUAGCUAGUUGGUAAGGUAACGGCUUACCAAGGCAACGAUGCAUAGCCGACCUGAGAGGGUGGUUGGCCAACCUGGAACUGAGCACAGGUCCAGACUCCUACGGGAGGCAGGCGUAGGGAAUCUUCCGAAAUUGGGCGAAGGCCGAAGGGGGAAACCCGGCGGAGGGAUUAAGGUUCUCGGAUCGUAAAACUCUGUUAUUAGGGAAGAACAUAUGUGUAAGUAACUGUGCACAUCUUGACGGUACCUAAUCAGAAAGCCACGGCUAACUACGUG
rnacentral:rRNA from 1 species